AGCUAUGCUAAAAUUUAAGAUACCAAUACCUAUUUUAAUCCCCCCUUUUAUUUUUGCUAUUUUUUGGGAGAACCUGUCUGCUAGACCCCAUAUGCACUUGAUUUGUUCGCCUGCAGAUGGCGCGCUGGAUUUUAUGGUCAUUAUAAAGGAGGAGGAAACACCGAGAUAGAGAGAUGCUCUGCUCUUAUUUCAUGUCUUUGGUGUUUGACCAGGGUUUUCUGAGACGCUGUAAUUUGCAUGACCAUCCUAUUAACCUGUCUCUAUCUCCAACUGAACACUUCAGCCAAGAUCAGCUCUUGCAGCAGCACACCUCCACAAACUCCAGCUCUCUUCUGUCAAAAUGCCAGACUCUAACGAAGCUGCGCCAGCACCGUGCCAGGUCAUCAAAGAGGAUGUUGACAAAUGUGUCAGAGAGAAGGGAGCAGAGGGCUGUAAAGAUCUGAUAGAUGCCUUCCAGGCCUGUAUAAAAACCCUGUCUGAGGGAUCAUAAUACAUAAGGCAAUGCAUCUUAAUAAAAUCUUAUCAAAGUGCUUCACUUUCCCAGCAUUCCCUUCCUUGCCUAUUGCACUGGACUGAACCAUCUGAAAAACUGAAGAGGGGGUGAUGAGACUGAGCUUCCGAUACUGUAUACUUCUGUCAAUGUGAAACCUUUUCGUCAUAAAUGUUAUAACUCCAUCAUGGACUCUAGUAUAAAUCUAAUCAUCUAUGUACCGUAACAUUCUUAUACACACAAAUACAAUAAAUAUAAAGCUUAUCCACCAUA